rnacentral:lncRNA from 1 species
GAUUUCUAGAAAUGUCUAAUGCAAGCAUCUCAGAUAACAUCCCUGACUGGUUUGAAAAUAUUUCUUCCAAUAUUCUACGAUUGGAUUUAUCUUAUAAUCAGUUGUUUGGGACCUUACCAACUUUCAGAAAACUGAACACAACUUAUGCUAGUUAUUUAAGGUUCAUAUUGUUGAAAUCUAACCAGUUUGAUGGUUUUUUAACCUGUUCUCAUUUUGAUGCAACCAUAUUGGAUAUCUCCAACAACUUGCUCCACGGCCAGAUUCCCCAGAAUAUCAGUGAUACGAUGCCAAGUCUGGAACUCUUAUCCCUCUCCAACAACUACUUGAAUGGUACAGUUCCAGCUACUUUAUGCAGGAUUGAAUCUUUACAAAUUCUUGAUCUUUCGAAUAAUCAUCUAUCAGGAAGAAUACCUUCAUGUUGGGGAAAUUUGACAAGUUUAACUGUGAUUGAUUUUUCAAGUAAUAUGCUGAGUGGUGAGGUUCCAAUGUCCUUGGGUUCUCAAGAGUCGCUUGUUUCCCUGCAUUUGCAAAACAAUACUCUGCAAGGAAAGAUCCCAAUGUCAUUAAGGUAUCUAGAAUCCUUGGAGACUCUUGAUCUUAGCAUGAAAUCUUUUGAUGGUUUUAUUCCUUCAUGGAUAGGUGAGAGCCUAUCUUCUCUGAAAGUACUGAGUAUUCACUCUAAUAAAUUUGAAGGUGAGAUUCCUCUGCAGCUUUGCUACCUUGCUUCUCUUCGCAUAUUGAACUUGGCAAAUAACAUGAUGACUGGAACCAUACCUAAUUGUUUUAGCAAUUUUACUGCAAUUGCUAUGCAUGAGCAGAAAGGGCAUUGGGACUACUACCUUAAAGAUGUACCCCUUCUUUAUGAAACAGCUGGCUAUGGUGAGAAUGUGCAGGUUUAUGUCAAAGGAAUAGAGCUUGAAUAUACUAGAACACUUCGAUUUCUCUAUUCUAUUGACCUUUCAGGAAAUAAAUUUGUUGGAGAAAUUCCUCAGGAGUUGAUGAAUCUUUCAGGUCUACAGAACCUGAAUCUAUCUACAAACAAAUUGGAUGGACAUAUCCCUUGGAACAUUGGCAAGUUAAGCUCACUAGAAUCACUUGACUUGUCUGAAAAUGAACUUUCUGGCUCUAUUCCAUUCAGCAUUUCUGAUUUGAACUUUUUAAGUCACUUGAAUUUGUCAUUCAAUCACUCAUCAGGACGAAUUCCAAAGGGAAACCAACUUCAGACUUUGGAUGACAAAUCCAUCUACAUCGGCAACGAUGGACUUUGUGGACCUCCAUUGAAUAACUGUUCAGAUGAUGCAGAUGAAUUGCCUAAAGGUCAUGAAAAAGGUGGCACUACGAGGAAAGAUGACUCUGAAAUGGUUUGGUUCUACGGUGGUAUGGGAAUGGGAUUUGCGGCCGGAUUUAUUGGAGUUUGUAGCAUCUUGUACUUCAACGACUCAUGGAGGUGUGCUUGGUUUGGGUUAGUUGACAGAGUCUACAACAAGCUUUGGGUAACAAUUGUAAUUAAGGCAAAUCAAGUGAAGAGAAAGUUUCUCAGAAACAAAUUAGAAGGAAAUGCAUGAGAAGGUUAGUUCUUUCUAUUUAAUCACUCAUAAUUUAUGGAUGCUUUAUUACUGUUGUUAGAGAUGCAAAUUGACAGAAAUUUCAAUUACAUAAUCAUAAUGUUUUCUAUGUUAAUUGUUGAUGAUAGUGUUUAAUGUAGGAUUCAAUGUUGUUUGAGACUGCAGCAGAUGUUGAGCUAAAUUUAAAUAAAGCCCCACCUCCAUUCAAGGUUUGAAGUUUGGAAGGCUAGAAGAUUUUCUUUAAAGGGGAUGUGUUUUUGUGUGAUUGUUUCCAGGAUUUGAUAUCCUUGAGCUUUUUCUAAGACAUGAAAUGUAGUUGAUUGUGUAAUAAAGCUAUAUUUAAUUAGUAAAACAAUUUUAGUUAUUUAUGAAAUAUUACUUGCUAUAUAUUAAAAAUAAAUAAUUUUAUAAAAUUUAUUAAAAAUAUUUUAGAAGGUUAAUCGGUUAGAUUCGGUUUGAUUCAAUUUGAAGUUGAUCGUUAUCGGGAGCCGAGGACAGUUGCUCCACGAUCUGUUUCCCUUUGUCUAUGGAAGAAGGAGAAGCAGUUUCUGGAGACCCUGCCGUGCGCGCUUUCUUGACAGUCCGGCCCUCAGGGGAGGCCUCAAAAGUUUGGGCUCGCUUUCCAGCAGCUCCACUAAUUACAACGAUAGUAGCAACCUGGCGGAAUUGAGUCGCCAGAAGAGCGACCUCAGUUCCCCCCUUGGAGCCACUCUCAGUGGACUCAUUGAUGGUGAUGGGCUCUCGAGAGGCUGGAUUAGAAGCGGACUUGGGCUUCGAAGCUGCUGGAGACUUGGAGGAGGCCGGAGCCUUACCUUGAGUAGAGGCCCUGGAGGCCGCAGACCGAGAGCCUUUAGCCACGGGCACCAACGCCCGAGAAGAAGCGAGGGCAGCAGUCCGACCUGUCACAGUAGGAGUGACAGCAUGAAAAACUUCGCGGGUCACAUUUGCAACUGACUGGCCUGCCUUGAAGGCCUCCAAAGUGGCCUUCAUGCUCUCCCUGGACAUGGUGAAAUUUUCGGGAGGCCUGGUCUUGUCCAUUGGCACGGAGGAAGCUGAAAAAAUAAAAACAACCUAAGUCAAGGCCAAACACAAUGAAAGGAAAAAAUGCUAAUGGAAAGGAAAAAGAAAAAGAAAAAGAAAAAGACAAGAAAAUAAUCAUUAAUGAGUACCAGCUUCCUGGCAGUCUCGAAGACUAGACACGAACACCAACAUACACUUCUCAACAUCAUACUUCCUUUGUAUAGAGGUCAGUCAAAGAAGGUAGAUCUGGUCUACCAGGAGCAGCUGAGGAAGGUCGUUACAGCCCUGGAAAACCUCCCUUCAAGAGAGAUCAAUAUCCCAAUCGAUCCUAGAGCCCUCCUUUACCUCUACCACCGCAAAGGCUUCAGCCCAGCAUUUUAUUGAGUCUUUAUACCCUGCAAAGAUGGAUAACCCUCCCUAGGGAGCAAAGUAGUAAAACCCGUGAUUUACUUGAACUAAACAGAAAAAGGUAGAAAACAAAGUGACAGAAGGGGCAAAACCCCAACACAGACUUAUGGACUCGAAGGAACACAUGAAGAUGAUAGAAUUCAGACAUAACAUGCAAGGGGUCACUACGAAGUGAUGAAAGACCUCGAUAAAAAAAGGAAGAGAAAGGGAAGGUUAAUUCGAAGUCGCGUUGCUUGACAUAGAAGAUCAAGCUGCGACCUUGUUGGGAGUCUAUUAAACCCACCGGUGGAGGAACAGGAAGAAUAAUCCUCUCAUUGCGAAGAGGAGCCCUAAUCCUAUAGAUGGAGGUGUCUAUGCAGUCGGCAGAGAAAAAAAUGGAAAGAGUGGAAGGGGUGACCGUGGACCUCAUACCUAUAAUAUCAGGGAUUCUAACGGUGGCUAUCAGGAAAAUGGACACGUACCUCGGAAAAAUUUUGCAGAGAAAGGGAAAGACGAAUUCAAGGAAGCAGAGCAAGAAGAAGAGUCUAGAGCGAAACUGAAGGCAAAAAUUUGAAAUGGGUAAAGGCAAGAAAGAGACGUUUUGAUGGGAGUCUCCCUAGGGCCCCGCGGUCAUAAUUAAGACCUAGGUAUUUAACCCCUCAUUAAUCAUGGAAUAACUAACGAGGAGGUAAAGGGGCACUUGAUGACUGCUGGACCACUGGCAUCCAGGCUGAUGUCGAGACCUGGUAGAAGAGUUAGGCCCAAAACCCAACAGAGUCCAGUACGUAAGCUAAUCCAUCAGUACACCACCCAGCCCGCGGUUGAAGUAGGCGGGACUGACCGAGGGCCCUGACUCAUUAGAGAGGAACCCAGUUCAUUUGACGUGACGGGGAGUAAGAGAGCAGGCUCAGCUAUGCCAUGACCCUAUUAGCACGAGCGCCGGAGGGGAAUUAAAUGCUGUCUGACGAUGGUGGGCAGACAUGUAUGCCUGUACGUACGGCUCUGUGUGGCAACGACAGGUGGCACUGUAGCAGGGUGGUGGUUAUGCGUCACUAGAGGAUAAGAAGAAAAAAAGAAUAAAAGAGGGGAGUAUGACCCAUUCAAAUUAAACUUACUCAUACACACAGAAACCCUACCUCUUUCUAAAUCUCAGAUCAUUUAAAGGUAUUCGUUGAAUUUCAAUCUUAUAUACUCAAGUUUAUUUAUUAAUCCACAAUAGAUCAAUUUAAUUAAGUAAUUGAAAUUUUGUGCCUUGAAAACUAGAGAAGAAACUUUAACUAAUUUGACCAAAGCUAUAAUUUUUAUUUAAUUUUUAAAAGAGAUCUCGAUUAUUCUUGUUUAUUUGUUUUAAUUUUAUGUGAUUGAGUUACAUAUUCAAGGUUGGAGUUCUCCUGCAAUUAGUAGAGUAUAAUGUAAUUAGAUGCAACCCCACAUACUCAACAAUAGUGUACAUUUUAUACUGUUGUUGUCCAAAAUGAUCGGACAAACUUUUGCAUUGGAGUUUUAGAAAUCUUUUAAAAUUUACUCGUUCUUCAUUCACUAGAGGCUAUUACUUUAAGAGAGACCCUUUCCUGAUUUAAACAACUUAACGCUCAGGCCUUAUGGGGGAAGGAACCUAUAUAGGUGGAUCAAAGGUAUCCCACAUCGAAAAGAGGUUAGUAGAGGAAGGGCCUUACAAGGCAUUGCCCCGGACACCCCAGUGGACGCGUUUUGGGAAGACAGGAUAUCAAAUCCCUUGACCCAGGAACAAACUCGCGAGGGAAGACAGGGUUUCAAUCCCUUGACCUAAAGCGGACAAUAUUCACUGGUGUGGGUCCAGAUGGCGUUACAAUUGGUAUCAGAGCCUGGGCCUCAUGAGUACGGUGUGCUGAGUGAGGGCGCUCAGCCCUUAUGGGGGAAGGAACCCUAUAUAGGUGGAUCAAAGGUAUCCCACAUCAGAAAGAGGUUAGUAGGGAAAGGGCCUUAUAAGGCAUUGCCCCGGACAACUCAGUGGACGCGUUUUGGGAAGACAGAGUAUCAAAUCUCUUGACUCAAAGCGGACAAUAUUCACUAGUGUGGACUCAGAGGACGUUACAUCUUUUUUAUUAGGUAUCCAUUAGACUUUACUUUGGAUUCGAUAACAAGUUAAUGUGGUUGCUACUAUGCUAUCUAGAGUAGUUAUAUAUUAUGCUAGUUACACCAAGUGAUUUGUUCUUUCUAGUGAUGUUUCAUCUCUUGUAACUUCUGAGCGUAUUUAUAUGUUGUUUAUUAGUCGAAAAUAAUAUUUUCGGUUAUUGUUUUAUUUGAUUUUUUGAAUUUAAAAAUUUUAUAAAUUAAUUAAAAAUCUAAAAAAAAUCACAAAUGAAAGAAAAAAAAGUUAAAUACUGAUGAUAUCGUCUCAAAAAAAUUGACAGCAAUUAAAUUAAUAAUCUAUGCUUCAAUUGGAAAUUUGGUACCAAAGGCACUGGAUGACUCAAAAUUCCAAGUCUAAGGAGAUGAGUCUUUCAAAGUCAAUAAUCUGUGGUGGGCAAGAAAUUAAUUUAACCCAUGCUACACUAAGUCUUGUGACGGAGGAGGAGACUUGCAUAUUUGAAUGCAAUAAUAAAACAUUUUAAAUUUCUUCAAUAGAUUAUAUAUUUUUAUUAAUUUUAAACAUAAUUAAAAAAUAUAACAAAUUCAUAAAUCAUAAUCAAUAAUCUGUCUUACUAAUUUGAGAAAGGGAACUAUUUGAUUUAGUAAUUUUUUUUAAAAAAAAGGGAAGGGUGGUACUUAUUUCCUCUUUAUUUUCUUUUACAGUUGAAAUUAAUUAAAAGGGUGAUUAAUUUACUCUUUUCAUUCAUCCAGCUGAAUUUCCAACAAGGCAAUUCAAGUGAAUUUUUUUCUAUGGACAUUCACAGUACAGAAAUUGCUAGGAAAGUUUACGACCAUGGUGACAAUUUGAUUUGAUAGCAUGUUACUAUAAUUAAUAUAAAAUUGAAAGAUUAAUUGAGUAUAUAAUUUAUAAAAAAAUUAAGACAAUUCAUAUAACUUUAAAUUUUAUUUGAAGAUUAUUUUUUGGUUUAAACAUGAAAUCUAAUUAAACAGAUCAAAUCCAACCUCAAAAAAAUUAUUGAAGGUUCCCCAUAUGUAAUUAAAGAAGGGAGUUUAUUUAUUUAUUUAUUUUAUUUUAAAAUAUUAUUAAUUCUGCCAUUUCUAGAGAUAUUUAUUCGUCCUUGUUUGGUAGGGUCAAUGUCAUAGGACAAGAUAUUAGAGUUUGAAAUCCUGGCACCCAUCCCAUUCCAGUGAAAGUUGAACUAAUUAAUGCUUUAAUUGGAAUUUUUGUACCAAAGGCAUGAAUUUCUAAGUCUACAGAGAUCUAUAAGAUGAAAAUUAUAUAUUUUAUAUUAUAAAAAAUGGUAAUUACCCUUAUAAAAAGAUCAUUUUAUAAAAAAAAUUAAUAUUAAAUUAAUGAAAACUAAUUUCUAAAUAUAUGAAUAUAUUUUUUAUAAAUUGAUGUAAUAAAAACUAUAUUGAACAUUAAUUAAUAAUAUCAUUAUUGAAAACUAGAGUGUUUGUUUUUGAAUUGAGAAGUUAUGGGAACAUCAACUGCAAGUAUUGUUGAGAUUCUUGCCUUGCUCAUUCUACUUCAAAGCGUUUCCUCCUUCUGCAAUGGAGAUAAUUUCAAUGGAAGCUGUAUCAAGACUGAAAGAGAAGCUCUUGUGAAGUUCAAGUCAAGCCUCGUCGACAAUUCAAACUCGUUGCCUUCAUGGGUGGGAGAUGACUGCUGCAGAUGGCACGGAGUCAAUUGCGAUGACAUAAACGGUCAUGUAGUUAAGCUCGUUCUUUCUCGGGCGUCCAUCAUGGGAAACAUUUCCCUUCAUCUUGGAAAUCUUUCAAACUUGCAGAAUCUUGAUCUCAGUUGGAAUCCUUCAUUGGCAAUCCACAGCCUCCAUUUUCCAUCUUCUUUGAAAUACUUGAACUUGUCGUUUGUGCUCCUGGACAAGUGUGACAAUUGGUUGCAGACAAUAAACAUGCUUCCUUCUUUACUAGAAUUAGAAUUGUGGAAUUGUGAGCUUUCCAUCAUUGGUGAUGUUUCACAUGUCAAUUUUACAUCUCUUGAGGUUCUCGACCUUGGAUUGAACAACUUCCAUUCCACAAUCCCAAGCUGGUUAUAUAAUAUCACCAACCUUCGACAUCUUGAUCUGUAUUCUGGUGCUUUCCGAGGUUCUCUUGCAACUGAUAUCAGUAAUCUUAAGUCUCUUGCUUCCCUUAGUGCGGGUUUUAAUUCUUUGGAAGGCAACAUACCCAACACGUUGAACAGGCUUUGCAAUUUGAUUGAGCUAGACUUGGAUUACAACAAGUUCAGUGGUGAGAUUUCCGGAACUUUUGGCAACUCAUCCGGUUGCAUCAAGAACAGUUUAGAGAAUCUGUAUCUUUUAAACAAUUCCUUUUCUGGUAGUAUUCCAGAUAAUUUGGGACAAUUUAAACGCCUGAAAUUUCUUUCUCUUUCUAAAAACUCUUUCUGGGGUUCAAUUCCUGUAUCCAUUGGACAGCUUUACAACCUUGAAACACUAAAUUUCAGUAAGAAUUCAUUGCAUGGGAAAGUUUCUGAACUUCACUUGUUAAACCUCAGAAGCUUGAUUGGGUUGAGCAUGGAUGGGAAUUCUUUAGUUUUUGAUAUUGAUCCUGAAUGGAUACCUCCUUUUCAACUUUCCUCGAUUGAUUUAUCAUCUUGUGAAGAAGGGCCUUCGUUUCCACAGUGGCUCAAAACACAAAAGAGCAUUAGAUUUUUAGAAAUGUCUAAUGCAAGCAUCUCAGAUAACAUCCCUGACUGGUUUGAAAAUAUUUCUUCCAAUAUAGUAGGAUUGGUUUUAUCUUAUAAUCAGUUGUUUGGGACCUUGCCAACUUUCAGAAAACUGAACACACCUUAUCCUAACGAAUAUAGGAUCAUAUUGUUGAAAUCUAACCAGUUUGAUGGUUUUUUAACCUGUUCUCAUUUUGAUGCAACCAUAUUGGAUAUCUCCAACAACUUGCUCCACGGCCAGAUUCCCCAG